rnacentral:rRNA from 1 species
AGCUCCAAUAGCGUAUAUUAAAGUUGUUGCGGUUAAAAAGCUCGUAGUUGGAUUUCUGUUGGGGACGACCGUUCCGCCCUCGGGUGGGUAUUUGGUUCGGCCUUGGCAUCUUUCUGGAGAACGUUUCUGCACUUCAUUGUGUGGUGCGGUAUCUAGGACUUUUACUUUGAGGAAAUUAGAGUGUUUCAAGCAGGCAUAAGCUUUGAAUACAUUAGCAUGGAAUAAUAAGAUAGGACCUCGGUUCUAUUUUGUUGGUUUCUAGAGCUGAGGUAAUGAUUAAUAGGGAUAGUUGGGGGCAUUCGUAUUUAACUGUCAGAGGUGAAAUUCUUGGAUUUGUUAAAGAC